rnacentral:rRNA from 1 species
UACGUAGGGUGCGAGCGUUAAUCGGAAUUACUGGGCGUAAAGCGUGCGCAGGCGGUUUUGUAAGCCAGAUGUGAAAUCCCCGGGCUUAACCUGGGAAUGGCAUUUGGGACUGCAAGGCUGGAGUGCGGCAGAGGAGACUGGAAUUCCUGGUGUAGCAGUGAAAUGGCGUAGAUAUCAGGAGGAAUACCGAUGGCGAAGGCAGGUCUCUGG